AAAUUUAGAGUAAAAAAUGUCUCGGUACGUGAACGAUCUUCGGUACCCGAACAAAUCAUGCCACAAACAUGUUCAAUUAGACACACUUUAGACACAUUUUAAAUGCCAGAAGAACAGUUACGUAUCCCCAUUCAAACAAUAAUAUAUCUUCUCCUUUCCACUUACGCCAUCAACUCUCAUCAUUACAGGUAAAGUGAAGUUACAUUUUCAUUUCAUUUACUGUACAUUGUGUUUAUUAUUAUUUUCCUAUAUGUUUUUUAUGCAUGUAAGGCAUUAUUAUACUAUAAAAUGUGUGUUAAAAUGCAGUAAUUUU